rnacentral:rRNA from 1 species
GAUGAACGCUGGCGGCGUGCCUAAUACAUACAAGUCGAGCGAACAGACGAGAGUGCUUGCACUCUCUGACGUUAGCGGCGGACGGGUGAGUAACACGUGGGUAACCUACCUAUAAGACUGGGAUAACUUCGGGAAACCGGAGCUAAUACCGGAUAAUAUUUAGCUUCGCAUGAAGCAAUAGUGAAAGACGGUUCUGCUGUCACUUAUAGAUGGACCCGCGGUGUAUUAGCUAGUUGGUGAGGUAACGGCUCACCAAGGCAACGAUACAUAGCCGACCUGAGAGGGUGAUCGGCCACACUGGGACUGAGACACGGCCCAGACUCCUACGGGAGGCAGCAGUAGGGAAUCUUCCGCAAUGGACGAAAGUCUGACGGAGCAAUGCCGCGUGAGUGAAGAAGGUUUUCGGAUCGUAAAACUCUGUUGUAAGGGAAGAACAAGUACGUUAGUAACUGAACGUACCUUGACGGUACCUUACCAGAAAGCCACGGCUAACUACGUG